UGGGCCUGAAUACAAGCACUAUUCUUGAGGCCCAGCCAAAAAAGGGUGUACGCCAUCAAUGGAGGGUGUGAACCGGGAAAUGCUUGGUCCUGUUAUGGCCUCAAUCCCAAACUCUACAGACUAAUACAUACACCAAUGAACUCAAUCCAAAUCUAAGGGUAUGUCAGCAUCAUUCGUUCGGCAACGCUUUGUUUCGAUUCCAUAAAUCUGUCUUCGAGAAAAACUCAAUCGCGAACCACACAACGCGUGACUCUUCUUUGGCAUAAUCAUUGGCGUCUGAAUCGAUUCAUCAUCUUCAUCGAACAAGAUUUACAAUAUCCUCAUUAGGAUCUAGUUCUCCGUAUCAAAGAGAACAUGUGGAUGUCGUUCGAGAUUGCCCAAAAAAUCAUGCUUGUUGAGAAGUUCGGAUGCAGAAAAGAGAUAAGAGCACAGUGAAGCUCUUGGUCACAAGUGAUGGAUAAUAAUAAAUUAAGCGAGGAAUCACCGAAGCAUGUACCAAUAGGGAGCUCCGAUGCGGUGGCUCGACGGUGAUCACUUCACAGGUUGUCGAUUUCUGUUGUUAAACCUGCUUUGGCGUUUCGUGCUGCUAUGCAUUUCAUGCUUUGGACCUCUCCGUUUGGCAUUCCCACUUAUGUCGUGCUGCAGAUUAUUUUGGUAUACAACUUGGUUAAACUACCUGCAUUUUGUCGUUGUGUUCUGUGUCUUGCCAUUUCGUUGGUACUUGCACUGCCAGACACGUGAUGGGCUAACUUGUGAAACAUAGAUAUGGAUACUGGUUGUAGGUUAAGGAUGAAUGGAUACUUAACAUUGAUAUUGGUUAUUGGCAUGGUAAUUGGUUGUUUACAUGAUAAAU